rnacentral:rRNA from 1 species
AUUGAACGCUGGCGGCAUGCUUUACACAUGCAAGUCGAGCGGCAGCGCGGGGGCAACCCUGGCGGCGAGCGGCGAACGGGUGAGUAAGGCAUCGGAACGUGUCCGGGAGUGGGGGAUAACGCCGCGAAAGCGGCGCUAAUACCGCAUAUUCUCUGAGGAGGAAAGCGGGGGAUCUCGCAAGGGGCCUCGUGCUCGCGGAGCGGCCGAUGUCCGAUUAGCUGGUUGGUGGGGUACUGGCCUACCAAGGCGACGAUCGGUAGCUGGUCUGCGAGGGUGAUCAUCGACACUGUGACGGCGGCACGGCCCAGUCUACUACGUGAGGCAGCAGUUGCGAAUGUUGGACAAUGGGGGCAACCCUGAUCCACCCAUGCCGCGUGCGGGUAGCAGGCCUUCGGGUUGUAAGCCGCUUUUAUCCCGGACAAAAGCGCCACGUAUAACACCCGUUGCGGUUGACGGUACCGACGGAAUCAGCACCGGCUAACUACGUGCCAGCCGCCGCAGUAAAAC